CGAAGAAUUGGACAACGUAUUAUUGGAUCUUCAUCGGUUUUCAGGUGAGAAUUGUUUUUGAUGAGUUUCAGAGUCUCUCAAGAAGUUGGAAAACAACCUUUGGUCUAGGAGGAAGUCCUACCAAUUGUGAGUGAAUCAAUUAAAGAAUGAAAUUGGCUGAUGUGAUUGGAAAGAGAAAUGUUUAGAAAUAUGUGGGAUGUGGGAGACCUGUCGUUUGCUUUAUGAUUCACAGGUUGAGGAUUUCUUCAGGGGACAACUGGCUAACUAAAGAGGUCUGUGUUGCUUUCUUCUUUAAAUGUAAUGGAUGUUAUUGUGUAAAAGUAUGGGAUAAUAUUUGUAUUGUUGCGGGAGGGUUGUUUCUCUUUUUUUUUCUAACCAAUAGUUUCAAAGAAGAGAAGAGCAUCUUCUUCUAUAGAGAAAUUGAAACGUAAGAACCUUUCUAUUCUACUAUUCCAAAAGUAAAGAUGUUCUUGGGAUAAAGUCAGUACAAUGCAUAAUUUCAACAUGUCCUUGUGGGAUGAUGGGAAAGAGCCUCUUUGUGUGCCUGUCUAUGUAGUUUGCUGCUUGACAGAUAUCUCAAGAGUCGCCUUAUGCAGUACGAAGAAUUGGACAACGUAUUAUCAGAUCUUCAUCGGUUUUCAGGUGAGAAUUGUUUUUGAUGAGUUUCAGAGUCUCUUAAGAAGUUGGAAAACAACCUUUGGUCUAGGAGGAAGUCCUACCAAUUGUGAGUGAAUCCAUUAAAGAAUGAAAUUGGCUGAUGUGAUUGGAAAGCGAAAUGUUUGGAAAUAUGUCGGAUGUGGGAGACCUGUCGUUUGCUUUAUGAUUCACAGGCUGAGGAUUUCUUCAGGGGACAACUGGCUAGCUAUAGAGGUCUGUGUUGCUUUCUUCUUUAAAAGUAUUGGAUAAUAUUUGUAUUGUUGUUGCGGGAGGGUUGUUUCUCUUUUUUUUUCUAACCAAUAGUUUCAAAGAAGAGAAAAGAGCAUCUUCUUCUAUAGAGAAAUUGAAAUGUAAGAAACUUUCUAUUCUGCUAUUCCAAAAGUAAAGAUGUUCUUGGGAUCAAUUCAGUACAAUGCAUAAUUUCAACAUGUCCUUGUGGGAUGAUGGGAAAGAGCCUCUUUGUGUGCCUGUCUAUGUAGUUUGCUGGUUGACAGAUAUCUCAAGAGUCGCCAUAUGCAGUACGAAGAAUUGGACAACCUAUUAUUGGAUCUUCAUCGGUUUUCAGGUGAGAAUUGUUUUUGAUGAGUUUCAGAGUCUCUCAAGAAGUUGGAAAACAACCUUUGGUCUAGGAGGAAGUCCUACCAAUUGUGAGUGAAUCAAUUCAAGAAUGAAAUUGGCUGAUGUGAUUGGAAAGAGAAAUGUUUAGAAAUAUGUGGGAUGUGGGAGACCUGUCGUUUGCUUUAUGAUUCACAGGCUGAGGAUUUCUUCAGUGGACAACUGGCUAGCUAAAGAGGUCUGUGUUGCUUUCUUCUUUAAAUGUAAUGGAUGUUAUUGUGUAAAAGUAUGGGAUAAUAUUUGUAUUGUUGCGGGAGGGUUGUUUCUCUUUUUUUUUUCUAACCAAUAGUUUAAAAGAAGAGAAGAGCAUCUUCUUCUAUAGAGAAAUUGAAAUGUAAGAACCUUUCUAUUCUACUAUUCCAAAAGUAAAGAUGUUCUUGGGAUCAAGUCAGUACAAUGCAUAAUUUCAACAUGUCCUUGUGGGAUGAUGGGAAAGAGCCUCUUUGUGUGCCUGUCUAUGUAGUUUGCUGGUUGACAGAUAUCUCAAGAGUCGCCAUAUGCAGUACGAAGAAUUGGACAACCUAUUAUUGGAUCUUCAUCAGUUUUCAGGUGAGAAUUGUUUUUGAUGAGUUUCAGAGUACUUCAAGAAGUUGGAAAACAACCUUUGGUCUAGGAGGAAGUCCUACCAAUUGUGAGUGAAUCCAUUAAAGAAUGAAAUUGGCUGAUGUGAUUGGAAAGAGAAAUGUUUAGAAAUAUGUGGGAUGUGGGAGACCUGUCGUUUGCUUUAUGAUUCACAGGCUGAGGAUUUCUUCAGGGGACAACUGGCUAGCUAAAGAGGUCUGUGUUGCUUUCUUCUUUAAAUGUAAUGGAUUUUAUUGUGUAAAAGUAUGGGAUAAUAUUUGUAUUGUUGUGGGAGGGUUGUUUCUCUUUUUUUUUCUAACCAAUAGUUUCAAAGAAGAGAGAAGAGCAUCUUCUUCUAUUGAGAAAUUGAAAUGUAAGAACCUUUCUAUUCUACUAUUCCAAAAGUAAAGAUGUUCUUGGGAUAAAGUCAGUACAAUGCAUAAUUUCAACAUGUCCUUGUGGGAUGAUGGGAAAGAGCCUCUUUGUGUGCCUGUCUAUGUAGUUUGCUGCUUGACAGAUAUCUCAAGAGUCGCCUUAUGCAGUACGAAGAAUUGGACAACGUAUUAUUGGAUCUUCAUCGGUUUUCAGGUGAGAAUUGUUUUUGAUGAGUUUCAGAGUCUCUCAAGAAGUUGGAAAACAACCUUUGGUCUAGGAGGAAGUCCUACCAAUUGUGAGUGAAUCCAUUAAAGAAUGAAAUUGGCUCAUGUGAUUGGAAAGCGAAAUGUUUAGAAAUAUGUGGGAUGUGGGAGACCUGUCGUUUGCUUUAUGAUUCACAGGCUGAGGAUUUCUUCAGGGGACAACUGGCUAGCUAAAGAGGUCUGUGUUGCUUUCUUCUUUAAAUGUAAUGGAUUUUAUUGUGUGAAAGUAUGGGAUAAUAUUUGUAAUGUUGUUGCGGGAGGGUUGUGUCUCUUUUUUUUUCUAACCAAUAGUUUCAAAGAAGAGAGAAGAGCAUCUUCUAUUGAGAAAUUGAAAUGUAAGAACCUUUCUAUUCUACUAUUCCAAAAGUAAAGAUGUUCUUGGGAUAAAGUCAGUACAAUGCAUAAUUUCAACAUGUCCUUGUGGGAUGAUGGGAAAGAGCCUCUUUGUGUGCCUGUCUAUGUAGUUUGCUGCUUGACAGAUAUCUCAAGAGUCGCCUUAUGCAGUACGAAGAAUUGGACAACGUAUUAUUGGAUCUUCAUCGGUUUUCAGGUGAGAAUUGUUUUUGAUGAGUUUCAGAGUCUCUCAAGAAGUUGGAAAACAACCUUUGGUCUAGGAGGAAGUCCUACCAAUUGUGAGUGACUCCAUUAAUGAAAGAAUUUGGCUGAUGUGAUUGGAAAGCGAAAUGUUUGGAAAUAUGUGGGAUGUGGGAGACCUGUCGUUUGCUUUAUGAUUCACAGGCUGAGGAUUUCUUCAUGGGACAACUGGCUAGCUAAAGAGGUCUGUGUUGCUUUCUUCUUUAAAUGUAAUGGAUUUUAUUGUGUGAAAGUAUGGGAUAAUAUUUGUAUUGUUGUUGCGGGAGGGUUGUUUCUCUUUUUUUUUCUUCUAACCAAUAGUUUCAAAGAAGAGAGAAGAGCAUCUUCUUCUAUAGAGAAAUUGAAAUGUAAGAACCUUUCUAUUCUACUAUUCCAAAAGUAAAGAUGUUCUUGGGAUAAAGUCAGUACAAUGCCUAAUUUCAACGUGUCCUUGUGGGAUGAUGGGAAAGAGCCUCUUUGUGUGCCUGUCUAUGUAGUUUGCUGCUUGACAGAUAUCUCAAGAAUCGCCUUAUGCAGUACGAAGAAUUGGACAACGUAUUAUUGGAUCUUCAUCGGUUUUCAGGUGAGAAUUGUUUUUGAUGAGUUUCAGAGUCUCUCAAGAAGUUGGAAAACAACCUUUGGUCUAGGAGAAAGUCCUACCAAUGGUGAGUGAAUCCAUUAAAGAAUGAAAUUGGCUCAUGUGAUUGGAAAGCGAAAUGUUUAGAAAUAUGUGGGAUGUGGGAGACCUGUCGUUUGCUUUAUGAUUCACAGGCUGAGGAUUUCUUCAGGGGACAACUGGCUAGCUAAAGAGGUCUGUGUUGCUUUCUUCUUUAAAUGUAAUGGAUUUUAUUGUGUAAAAGUAUGGGAUAAUAUUUGUAUUGUUGUUGCGGGAGGGUUGUUUCUCUUUUUUUUUUCUAACCAAUAGUUUCAAAGAAGAGAGAAGAGCAUCUUCUAAUAUUGAGAAAUUGAAAUGUAAGAACCUUUCUAUUCUACUAUUCCAAAAGUAAAGAUGUUCUUGGGAUAAAGUCAGUACAAUGCAUAAUUUCAACAUGUCCUUGUGGGAUGAUGGGAAAGAGCCUCUUUGUGUGCCUGUCUAUGUAGUUUGCUGCUUGACAGAUAUCUCAAGAGUCGCCAUAUGCAGUACGAAGAAUUGGACAACGUACUAUUGGAUCUUCAUCGGUUUUCAGGUGCGAAUUGUUUUUGAUGAGUUUCAGAGUACUUGAAGAAGUUGGAAAACAACCUUUGGUCUAGGAGGAAGUCCUACCAAUUGUGAGUGAAUCCAUUAAAGAAUGAAAUUGGCUGAUGUGAUUGGAAAGAGAAAUGUUUAGAAAUAUGUGGGGGACCUGUCAUUUGCUUUAUGAUUCACAGGCUGAGGAUUUCUUCAGGGGACAACUGGCUAGCUAUAGAGGUCUGUGUUGCUUUCUUCUUUAAAUGUAAUGGAUUUUAUUGUGUAAAAGUAUUGGAUAAUAUUUGUAUUGUUGUUGCGGGAGGGUUGUUUCUCUUUUUUUUUUUAACCAAUAGUUUCAAAGAAGAGAGAAGAGCAUCUUCUUCUAUAGAGAAAUUGAAAUGUAAG
rnacentral:lncRNA from 1 species